CAAGUCGAGUGGGUUUAGACCCACGGCAGACGGCUGCGUAACACGUUGGUACCUGCCCCGAACUCAGGGAUAACCCGCCGAAAGGCGGGCUAAUACCGGAUGGUCUCGUAAGAGUAAAGCUUUUGCGGUUCGGGAGGGGCCUGCGGCCUAUCAGUUAGUUGGUGCGGGUAACGGCCCACCAAGGCGACGACGGGUAGCUGGUCUGAGAGGAUGGCCAGCCACAUUGGGACUGAGAGACGGCCCAG
rnacentral:rRNA from 1 species